CUAACACGUAGUCAACAUGCCCAGGGGACGUGGAUAACCUCGGGAAACUGAGGAUAAACCGCGAUAGGCCAUGAUUUCUGGAAUGGUUCAUGGCCGAAAUCUAUAUGGCCCCUGGAUUGGACUGCGGCCGAUCAGGCUGUUGGUGAGGUAAUGGCCCACCAAACCUGUAACCGGUACGGGCUCUGAGAGGAGGAGCCCGGAGAUGGGCACUGAGACAAGGGCCCAGGCCCUAUGGGGCGCAGCAGGCGCGAAAUCUCUGCAAUAGGCGAAAGCUUGACAGGGUUACUCUGAGUGAUUCCCGCUAAGGGGAUCUUUUGGCACCUUUAAAAAUGGUGCAGAAUAAGGGGUGGGCAAGUCUGGUGCCAGCA
rnacentral:rRNA from 1 species